GAGAAGCGAAACUGCGAAGUGGAGCAAAACUCUAAAAAAACAAUCUCAGUUCAGAUUGCAGGCUGCAACUCGCCUGCAUGAAGUCGGAAUUGCUAGUAAUCGUAGGUCAGCAUACUACGGUGGAUACGUUCCCGGGCCUUGUACACACCGCCCGUCAAACCAUGAGAGUUGGCAACACCCGAAGUCGGUAGUCUAACCGCAAGGAGGACGCCGCCGAAGGUGGGGUUGAUGAUUAGGGUUAAGUCGUAACAAGGUACC
rnacentral:rRNA from 1 species